AUAAACAAAAUUAUACAAGCGACUAGACUAGUAUCACAGAUCUACAGAGUAGUACUAAACAGCUAAAAAUAAGUAGUAGAAGUAACUAGUACAGGGAGCAAGUACUCCUUUCAUUCACUUUAAACUGAGACAACUGAAAAGGAGUACUCCUUUCAUUUAAUUUACUUUAAACUGAGACUACUAAAAAGGAGUACUCCUCUCUUGAGAAGUUGAUGUAAAUGAAAUC
rnacentral:rRNA from 1 species